UGGCCAGACUCCUACGGGAGGCAGCAGUGGGGGAUAUUGCACAAUGGGGGGAACCCUGAUGCAGCGACGCCGCGUGGGUGAAGAAGCGCCUCGGCGCGUAAAGCUCUAUCAGCAGGGAAGAAGAUGACGGUACCUGACCAAGAAGCUCCGGCUAAAUACGUGCCAGCAGCCGCGGUAAUACGUAUGGAGCAAGCGUUAUCCGGAUUUACUGGGUGUAAAGGGAGCGCAGGCGGCCUUGCAAGUCUGAUGUGAAAGGCCGGGGCCCAACCCCGGGACUGCAUUGGAAACUGCGAGGCUGGAGUGUCGGAGAGGUAAGCGGAAUUCCUAGUGUAGCGGUGAAAUGCGUAGAUAUUAGGAGGAACACCAGUGGCGAAGGCGGCUUACUGGACGGCAACUGACGCUGAGGCUCGAAAGCGUGGGGAGCAAACAGGAUUAGAUACCCUAGUA
rnacentral:rRNA from 1 species